CCUACGGGAGGCUGCAGUGGGGAAUAUUGGACAAUGGGGGGAACCCUGAUCCAGCCAUGCCGCGUGUGUGAAGAAGGCCCUCGGGUUGUAAAGCACUUUCAGUGAGGAAGAACGCCUGGUGGUUAAUACCCAUCAGGAAAGACAUCACUCACAGAAGAAGCUCCGGCUAACUCCGUGCCAGCAGCCGCGGUAAUACGGAGGGUGCGAGCGUUAAUCGGAAUUACUGGGCGUAAAGCGCGCGUAGGUGGCUUGAUAAGCCGGUUGUGAAAGCCCCGGGCUCAACCUGGGAACGGCAUCCGGAACUGUCAAGCUAGAGUGCAGGAGAGGAAGGUAGAAUUCCCGGUGUAGCGGUGAAAUGCGUAGAGAUCGGGAGGAAUACCAGUGGCGAAGGCGGCCUUCUGGACUGACACUGACACUGAGGUGCGAAAGCGUGGGUAGCAAACAGGAUUAGAUACCCUUGUAGUC
rnacentral:rRNA from 1 species